AGUGAACGCUGGCGGUAGGCCUAACACAUGCAAGUCGAACGGCAGCACAGUAAGAGCUUGCUCUUACGGGUGGCGAGUGGCGGACGGGUGAGGAAUACAUCGGAAUCUACUUUUUCGUGGGGGAUAACGUAGGGAAACUUACGCUAAUACCGCAUACGACCUACGGGUGAAAGCAGGGGAUCUUCGGACCUUGCGCGAUUGAAUGAGCCGAUGUCGGAUUAGCUAGUUGGCGGGGUAAAGGCCCACCAAGGCGACGAUCCGUAGCUGGUCUGAGAGGAUGAUGAGCCACACUGGAAGUGAGACACGGCCCAGACUCCUACGGGAGGCAGCAGUGGGGAAUAUUGGACAAUGGGCGCAAGCCUGAUCCAGCCAUACCGCGUGGAUGAAGAAGGCCUUCGGGUUGUAAAGCCCUUUUGUUGGGAAAGAAAAGCAGCAGGUUAAUACCCCGCUGUUCUGACGGUACCCAAAGAAUAAGCACCGGCUAACUUCGUG
rnacentral:rRNA from 1 species